ACUGGGGUGGAAUGGUGUUGGAACAAGCAGGAAGAGAAAAAGAAGGGGGUACCUGGGGCCCUGGGGGAGCAGCUCUUUCCUCGCCCAGGACUCCCAACCUGGACAGGAUCAGAGGGGCCCAGAAGGACAGGGGACCUUCAGGCAGAGCUGAAGGACAAGACGAUGCCCAGGCCUGGCCCAAGCUCUGUCUACCUACAUGUCACAACUCCUAGGGUUUCCCAGAACCGGGAGAUCCACAGAGGCCCAGGAAUAAUCACCCUGACCCCAAUAUCCAGCUCUAUGCCCUUGGCAUCUGGACUACUUGGACUUCUUUGGGACCAGUCCCUGCCCUCGGAAGGGUACACGAAGCACUUAGAGCGAUAUGGGAGUGCACUGUGUGUCAGCCAUUCCACCCCCAAUUUUCCGAUGUCGUAGGAAAAUUGACGCAUAGGCAACAUCACAGAACUGGGAUUGGAACCACCUAACCCAAGGAUUGGCUCAUACCACGGCCUCCUGCACAGAGUGGCUGGGGAGAAGAAGCCAGCACAUGUAUGUGGAGUGUUUAGCACAGUGUGGCAGGUUCUGGAGCUUGCAAAUGUUGUGGGCACCUCAGGUAGAGGGCUCAGUUGCUCCUGCCUGCUCCACCCUGCCUUCUGCUGGGAUGAGAGGCUGGCCUGGUUCCAGAUCCGCAGGAUGGUCUGCCCCAGCCAGCUCCUCCCUGGAAGUCCUGGACCUGUGUUUCAGCACUCUCUUGGAGGCACAGGGGUAGAGCACAGGGAAAUUUCCUCCACCUAUCUAGGGGUUGCCAAAGCCCCUGCUCACCCUUAGAAAAAGGGGAUCCUCUGCCCUGCACCAAUUGCAGAUACUUUUGCUUCUCCAGGGGCAGGAUAGGAAACAGGGCAAUGCCAGGACCAAUUAAUCUUGCCCGGGGAAUUAAGAUCAGCGGGAUGCAAUUAUGCCUGUUGGAUUAAACAAGGCCAGGGGCGAGGCUUCUGCAUCCAGAGUUCAUGGCUCCUGGGUCUUUUACCCCAUAUAUCUCUUCCCUCCAGGAGCCCAGGCUCCCGGGCUUGGCCAUGUCCAGAAUUCACCGGCAGUGGGGGAGUUAACUCUACCCAGGCACUGCUUCUUUGGUUCCUAUGAGGAAAUGGUCCAGCCAAAGGCUUUAAAAGGACCUGCUAGAAGAGACAUUCUCCGCCUGACCCCUUCCCUGCUCCACUGUGAUGGAAAAUCCAAGGAGUUGAGCAAUAACCUUUCUGACUCCAAAGAGAGCAGCCAGCUCCCCUCCUAACUUCCACCCGGGCCUGACUUGAGAGUCACGCAGAGCUGUCAUAAGCAAGCUGUUCUCUCGCCCUCCCCCACCUUUGGACUCUGAGCCCAGCCUUACCGGUACCUACGCCCUCCCCAGGCUCUGGAAAAGCCCUAGGUAAGGUUGCUGUCACUAUGAUAGCGCUGGCUCUUAUGGCUAAAGCUGGUGAACAGAGAUUUUCGGGCAUCCUGUGCUGCAAAAUGGUCACAGAUUUUGCUGGAAGCCUAACUGACACACUGCCCUGCCCCAGUGAGUGUCCAACUCUGUGGCAAGGACUAAACCUUUGACUUUGGAGAUGCAGAGAUGAAGUUGGGAGAGGGCCAUAGAAUCACUAUUGACUGCAUUUUAGGUGAAAAAGGCUUGUAAAACUCACAUGUGGAGUAGGAUCUUGUUAUUAAAAACAGAAGACCUCUGGGGGUAUACAGGUAUAUCCCAAGUGUGAGAAUGGAGACGACUUUUUAUUCUUUGAAUUUCCUAUGUUAAAAAAAUGACUCUUCAUAACAUGAUCAGAUCAGUAAGUCAAAAUAUAACAUGGACACAAAUUAGAGGCAGAAAAAGAGGAAAAGCAUUAAUAGGAUAUGAAACAUGGUGGGAUUUCAGAAGCAGAGCCUUUGGAACUGACGUCAGGGGUGACUUCUCAGCUGCAGGUGUGGUCAGAACCUCAGAGAGCUCACAAUUCUAUCCCCUCGGCCUCUUGGUCAAUGCCUGAGGCCCUGGAGAGUUUAACAUGGAGGUUGCUGGGAAUGUGGCUCCAGGAAGCAGUCUUUCUGAGCAGCAUUUCUGGUGAUGUUUAUACACGUGCAAGCUCGAGAACUUCCAAGUCAGAGGCCUGCUCCCUUGGAAAUACUGAAGCCCUGAAGGAGGACUGGCUCUGAGUGUCUCCUCCUGAUAUGUGCCAGCGGAGGACACCUGUCCCAACAGCCUGGGGAAUUUUCACAGCCAACAAAUCGGCCAUCUGGAGGUGUGCGCAGGAUGGUGGUGUUUUUAAAAACCUUCCUCUGGAAAGGUAAUCAGGAUUGAGUCACUCAACCAACCAAAGCUGGGAGCUGCAUCUCACUGCCCUUGAACGCCCCCUAGGAGUUAGGAUAGAGUGGUGCAUGGGGCGGGUAUUUCUUGCGACUUGUGUCAACCAAGUCCCAGUGUGAAGCUUUUUUGGGCCCAGAUCCCAGCUCAGAAUACACAGUGUCCAUUUCUCACUCAAUCCGUCUCUCAAGCAAGCACCUAGAGCAAUACAUGGUGCCAUUGUGGCUGACAGUAACAUUGCUAACACGUACUGUGCAUUUACUGUGUGCCGGGCACAGGCAUAACUCUUUCAUCUUAGUGUCAGACACCCAAGAACUUAGGAACACAGAAAGAAACUUACCCAAGCCUUUAGAGGUAAAUGGUAGGACCAGAGCUUUAAUCCACCUUGUCUGGCUCCAGGGCCAUUUUCCAUCCCACAAACAUACACACAUACACACACACACAAAAUGGAAAAUGAAAACAUUUUAUAUAGUAUACUGCAAUUGAACCUAGGACUUUUACACUGAGUUAAAGACCCAGGCCUUUAAAAAAUUUUUUUUCUUGAGACAGGGUCUCACUAUGCAGUUCAGGUUGGUCUCGAACUCACAAGGAUCCUCCUGCCUCAGCCUCCCGAGUGCUGGGAUUAUAGGUGAGAACCACCAUUAUUUUACAUUUUGAGACAAGAUCUUGCCAUGUUGUUAAGUUGCCCAUGCUGUGUUCCUCCUUAUCUUGGCCUCUCAGGAGCACUGCGCCACCGUGACUGAUGGAAAAAUAAAUUUAUGAGUGAAGAGUAUUUUGGGACUGGGAUGUAGCUCAGUGAAAGAAUGCUUGCUUAGCACGUGUGAGGCCAGGGGUUUAUUCCUAGUACCUUUAAAGAAACAUUUAGGUUGCGUCAACUUUGUUGCCCCAAGGCUUGACGUUCAGUAGGAAAGAAUAAAUGGUUCUACUUUGGUAGGGGAUGAGGGGAAUCCAAGCUAGUCCUUCCCUUACUCCUCCUCUCCCAUCCCAGCCCAACUUCUGCAGCAUAAACAGCAAAGCUAAAAAUAGCUACCUAAUGACGUCAGAGGAACAAGGUCAUCUGAACAUUGCCACAGCCACUGGACACCUCCCUAUAGGAUCAAAUAGCAGGAGGGUACCCCAGGCUGGCGCAGCUGUUCCAAGAACAGGAAACAUCCCAGGCGCAGACUUGGAAGCACUGCAGCGGGGGCAAAACAGCUGCAUAUCCAGGAGCACAAGCAGGACAGAGCAGGCGUAGACCCUGGGUUGAGUAAUUUGACUAGAAGUCAUUCCCAUCAUACGACCCCAGGAAACGGCUCAAGAACCUGGGAACGCGUGUUCUGUUCUCUUGCAUAGGGACAGCUUCCCUGCCUGCCACUGUGCUAUUUUUAAAGUCUAGGUGUGCUUGCUAAACUGGAUUGCCAUAAGAACUAGGAGAUACAUGGCAAGCUGAGGGGCUGCUAGGAAAGGGCCCUGCUGGGGGACACUUCACGGCUGCAGUCUGUUUGGCACCUUGGCCAUCAUUCUGGCCUGCGGAGGCAUGUGGCUUAACGUACUGGCAGCUGCCACAUCCCUGACAGGAACCCAAGCAUCCGGCCCGGUCUGAGGAGAUGCCUGCUGUGCAGAAGGCAGGUGAAAGUGGAGUGAGGAGCUGCCUUUCAGCCUCCGGGAGGCUGGGCCAGCAAGGGCUCCACCUCACACAAAAAGAAUCAGGCAUUGUCCUCCGGAGGACCUAGGGUGCCCCCCGUAGUGCUGGUUCUGCUCCAGGGAUGCGAGCUGGGAAGGUAGGGCCUCUGGGAACACACAGACCUGGAUCCUAAUUCCGACCCUGCCACUUCCGGGAGGGUGACUUUGGGUAAGGAAUGCCAAGCCUCAGUUUCCUCAUCUGUCAUAUGUUGCAAGCAUAUAUGGAAAAGCAUUCCUCCCUCUCAGGCAGGAGGAAAGUUCCCUCUCCACAGCCUCAGCAACAGUAACGCACUGCACACAGAUGGCACCCUAGGGAGCCGUGGCAGGGAGGACAGUGUCUUGCCCUCAGGCAGGCUCCUGUCUGUCCUGGGCACUGAGUCACAGGAGAGAGCUGCUGGCUCAUGGAACCAUGGGAACCUGAGAUGGUAUUUACGGUCCCUCUCCUGGCACAGCAGUCCCUACACUUGGGCAGAUUGUAGUCCCUACAAAGCUGGUUAAAAUGUCACAGGGCUCUGCACUGAGACAUCAUGGUCACACUAAGUCAGUUGUGGGCAGCGCUUGUAUACUGUUGGUCCACAGACCACACACUGUGGACCACAGAAAAGUCUCCCAGAACCCAAAAGGCUGAGCUUCCCGAUCAUUUAUUUCUGAGUCCCUGGGCUGUAGACAGCAGUAUUUUGGUACUCAUGUGGUACCCAUGUGAGGAAAACCUGGAAACAUUCAGACUUGAUUGGGCGGACAGCAAGAGAUGCACAAAGUCAAGUCAUUGGUGAAGGAGCAAUACAAACUACCACAAAAGAGAGAAAACAGCCAGUGUGCAAAUAAUAAAGCCCCAGAGAGGGUUAUCGUAAGUUCAGUGAGCCUGCAGUGUAGACAUCAACCAGUGGGAAUGAGAUCUCCAGAAGCUCAACUCAAAUCCAUCGCUUGCUUCUGGUUUGCAGAAACUCCCAUGAGCCCUCACCUGCAGCCUCCCUGAAGCUGGUAACUAGCAACCGUGACUGCCUUGUCAUGUGGUUAGCUGCGAGUUAACAAUGGGGGCUUCCUGGCAAGCCCUGGUGACAGGAAUGGUCACACUGUCACACCAGCCAAGAAGGACACAUCACAAUUCCAGUUAGGACAAAGUGCUGCUUUCUUUCAAAUCUAAUCUGAAGGCUUGAAGACAAUGAAUCUGCCAAGCCUGGGCUUGUCCUGUCUCCAGGAAACUUUGUAUGUUCUCUGAGCAUCUCAGCAGGCUGCAAGGUAGAAGGCAGCUCAGGAUUCAGAACGUUGACCAGUUCCUACCUGGAUCCGCACCACCAAGCUGAAACUCAGCCUGCCUGUGCAGAAAUAGGAGCCCAGCCACAUGGCUCACAGUUUUUUUAACUGCUUCUCUCAGCACUGAAGAACUUUCCCAGCAAACCAGCUUCCAGGAGGCGACAGCCUUCCUCAAGGGAAUCACAAAGGAAACGAUGUCAAGAUUUAUCACAGGACAUUCACAUUCAACCAGGCACUCCAGCCAUAAGCCAGCCCCCCAAAAACCUAGACAAAUAUCUAACUGUGAUUACCUUUAGAAUUUUUACUUUUAAAAAACUAAAAAUCAUCUUUAUGAAUUACAACCUCACUUCCAACGAGAACCCUGAACUCCUACAGUACUCCCCAUUUUAGAACCUAUCCUACUAUUAAUAAUUAUGUGUGUCCAGCUCUCAUCUCUGUUAGGUGCUGGGGCAACUAAUACUGCAGUCUGUCCUCCACUCUGGCUCUACUUUCUAGGGACAAAACUCCUCAGAAAAGAACUGGUAAGGAAUAAAGCAACUGAAAGACCAGCUAAGACACUACAUAAGAAGCAGGGCAGGGGCCAGAGAGGGCUCAGCGGCACAAGUGCCUGUCUGGCAAGUGGAAGGUUUUGAGUUUGAUCCCUGGUACCAAAAAAAUAAAAAAAUAAAAAAAUAAAGAAGGGCAUGUGACACAUGCCUGUAAUCCCAGCACUAUGGAGGCUAAGGCCAGCCUGGGUUGUGAGUUCAAAGCCAGCCUCAACAACAGUGAGACCCAGUCUCAAAAAACCAACUAAAGAGCAAAGAGACAAAAAUAAAAACUAAGAUACUACACAAGAAAACAGUGAUUAACCAAAGAGUAAAAGUGAUCUUAUAUGAAUUCAUACAAAGUAUGAGCAAUGGAAAAUCAUGACCAAGUCAAAACCCUUCUGAAAACCGCCCUCCCACAAACAGUGGGAGCGCCAACAAUCUACACGUGCAUGCGCACUAGGCACUUUGCAAAACUGCCAAGCAAAGUGUGGCAGCCAGAUUCUUAGUAGAACCCAGUAAAUUCUUAUCUCAGGACAUUCCAUUUGUUUAGAAAAAUUCCUGAGUAACCUCUUAGUAUGGAAAGAUGAAGCUUCUUCUAGAACUUGACCUAUGAGGACAAAGAAUACAAACGUCUCUAUAAAAGUAGAGUUUGAGUUUCUGGAGGAAAAAAAGGUAGGUAAAAGUGGGGCAUUCAUCAAAACAAGACUCAUUACUAAUCACGAGUUUGUGUUGAAGCUGUUAACCACUCAGUUUUAAGGUAUUUGUUCUGAAGUAAUGUAUCAAAAGGUGAUCAAAAAAUAUGGGUGAAAGACCCCUGCCUAGUGCCAGCCAAUGGAAAGGCAGGGAUCUUCACUACAAGAAGUGGCAAGUCAAACCUUGGUAAAAGCAUGUAGAAGUUUCAACUUGCUUGGUGCAGUUACUUGUGAGCGACAGUAGAGAGGCGUGUUUUUGAACUAUGCCAUAAAUCACAGAUUAAGAACACAUUCACAUUAGCCAGGCGUGGCGGUGCAUGCUUGUAGUCCUGACACUUGAGAGGCUGUGGCCAGCCUGGGCUACAUAGUGAGUUCAAGGUCAGACUGAACUACAUAGUGAGUCCUUGUCUUAAAAACAAAAGGAACACCAAAUUAACAUGCAAUUUCAUUGGGCUUUCCUGAUCAUGCAGCUUUAGAUUGCAACUUUUUAAAGAAAUGUCAUACGGACAUGAAACUUGGGGCUGAUUAUGAUCCUGUGAGCAAGGUUCAAAACUGUCAGAACUGGGUUCAAAACCCAGUUCUCUUCAUGUGAAGAAAUCAUGUCAAGAAACUCCAUCAAGGUGAUGCGCUUUUUGGCCUUGAUGGAAAUGUGCGAGCUGAGUUUGCACUCAGAAACACGAGUCAACCCUGAAUAUUAUAACAGCUUAUUCAAGCAUUUAAAAAUGAUGUGGUGAAAGUAACCUGAGUUUGGGUACCUGGUUUCACUCUCCAUCACACAAUGCUCCAGUUCACAUAUCACUUCUGCAAUCACAAUUUCUGGCAAACAGUAAGUUUGAGUCCUCAUCCACCUUAUUCAUUGGAUCAUGCACCAUGCAGCUUGACUCUUUUCUGAAGUCAAAAUGAUCACGAAAGGCCAACAAUUUUAAUCAGUUCAGGUUAUCAAGGCAGUUAUAAGAAUUCAAAUAAAGACACAAAUAGAACUUCUAGAGUUGCUUCAAAAGCAGCAUGAACAUAGCCGGGGAUGGUAGCAAACAUGUACUCCCAGAGGCUGAGGCAGGAGGGUUGCUGUGAGUUAAAGGCCAACCUGAAUUACAUAGUAAGACUUUGUCUCAAAAACAAAAAAACCCAGCAACAACAGUGUGAUAUGCGUUCAAAGCAAGGAGGAGUAUUUUGAGGGGCAAUUCAUGACAAUGUAUCUUUUGCUACACUAAUUUUUAAAAAUUAAACAUCAGCUCUUCUUAAU